rnacentral:rRNA from 1 species
CCUACGGGAGGCAGCAGUGAGGAAUAUUGGUCAAUGGACGGAAGUCUGAACCAGCCAUGCCGCGUGCAGGAAGACGGCUCUAUGAGUUGUAAACCUCUUUUGCCGGGGAGCAACGGGCGUCACGUGUGGCGCCACUGAGAGUACCCGGAGAAAAAGCAUCGGCUAACUCCGUGCCAGCAGCCGCGGUAAUCCGGAGGAUGCGAGCGUUAUCCGGAUUUAUUGGGUUUAAAGGGUGCGUAGGCGGAGCGUUAAGUCAGUGGUAAAAUUGAGGGGCUCAACCCCUUCCCGCCAUUGAAACUGGCGUUCUUGAGUGGAAGAGAAGUAUGCGGAAUGCGUGGUGUAGCGGUGAAAUGCAUAGAUAUCACGCAGAACCCCGAUUGCGAAGGCAGCAUGCCGGCUUCCGACUGACGCUGAAGCACGAAAGCGUGGGGAUCGAACAGGAUUAGAUACCCGAGUAGUC